AUGGUGGAAGUUUGGCACCAGCUGUUAUUAUCUCUCCUCCACGAUGAACUCAGCUGGGGCCGGUCAGAGGGAGUGCAGAACAAUGAAAGGAGAGUUGGUUAUUAUAAACAGCAGAGAAGAACAGAUAUUCAUUCAUGAAUUUAAGAAGAAUGUCUGGAUUGGUACUUAUAAAAAAGACGGAAUCUGGCAGUGGGUUGACAACACACCAUUUAAACCUACGUAUUGGAUGGAAGGGGAACCUAAUAACCUCAAUGACAAGGCAGCUUGUGUUGAGAUCUCACAGACAGCAACAGACCCAUUGAAGAGCUGGAAGGAUGGACCGUGUAUUCCAAAACACUGGGUCUGUGAGAAACCAAUCACACCGUAAUUAUUGGUUAUCCCUGUGAUAGGCUUAAGAUGCUUUUGUCUCUCUCUCUCUCUCUCUCUCUCUCUCUCUCUCUCUCUCUCUCUCUCUCUCUCUCUCUCUCUCUCUCUCUCUCUCUCUCUCUCUCUCUUGUUGUUUACUGGUAAGUGAUGAUGUCUAGUAGUUAUCAUGUUGAUGGUCAUGAUGAAUGGUUAAGUGAUGAUGACUAGUAGUUAUCAUGU